UACGUAGGUGGCAAGCGUUGUCCGGAAUUAUUGGGCGUAAAGCGCGCGCAGGUGGUUUCUUAAGUCUGAUGUGAAAGCCCCGGGCUUAACCUGGGAACUGCGUUUGAAACUGGGAGACUAGAGUGUGGCAGAGGGGGGUGGAAUUCCACGUGUAGCAGUGAAAUGCGUAGAUAUGUGGAGGAACACCGAUGGCGAAGGCAGCCCCCUGGGUUAACACUGACGCUCAGGCACGAAAGCGUGGGGAGCAAACAGG
rnacentral:rRNA from 1 species